rnacentral:rRNA from 1 species
ACAGCAGCAGCCGCGGUAAUACGUAGGUGGCAAGCGUUGUCCGGAAUUAUUGGGCGUAAAGGGCUCGCAGGCGGUUUCUUAAGUCUGAUGUGAAAGCCCCCGGCUCAACCGGGGAGGGUCAUUGGAAACUGGGAAACUUGAGUGCAGAAGAGGAGAGUGGAACUCCACGUGUAGCGGUGAAAUGCGUAGAGAUGUGGAGGAACACCAGUGGCGAAGGCGACUCUCUGGUCAGUAACUGACGCUGAGGAGCGAAAGCGUGGGGAGCGAACAGGAUUAGAUACCCGCGUAGUCCCUGUCUCUUAUAC